UCUUCACAAUGGACGAAAGUCUGAUGGAGCAACGCCGCGUGAGUGAAGAAGGUUUUCGGAUCGUAAAACUCUGUUGUUGGAGAAGAACGUAUUUGAUAGUAACUGAUCAGGUAGUGACGGUAUCCAACCAGAAAGCCACGGCUAACUACGUGCCAGCAGCCGCGGUAAUACGUAGGUGGCAAGCGUUGUCCGGAUUUAUUGGGCGUAAAGCGAGCGCAGGCGGUUUCUUAAGUCUGAUGUGAAAGCCUUCGGCUCAACCGAAGAAGUGCAUCGGAAACUGGGAAACUUGAGUGCAGAAGAGGACAGUGGAACUCCAUGUGUAGCGGUGAAAUGCGUAGAUAUAUGGAAGAACACCAGUGGCGAAGGCGGCUGUCUGGUCUGUAACUGACGCUGAGGCUCGAAAGCAUGGGUAGCAAACAGGAUUAGAUACCCUGGUAGUCCAUGCCGUAAACGAUGAGUGCUAGGUGUUGGAGGGUUUCCGCCCUUCAGUGCCGCAGCUAACGCAUUAAGCACUCCGCCUGGGGAGUACGACCGCAAGGUUGAAACUCAAAGGAAUUGACGGGCCCU
rnacentral:rRNA from 1 species